GACGAACGCUGGCGGCGUGCUUAACACAUGCAAGUCGAACGGUGAAGCUCCAGCUUGCUGGAGUGGAUCAGUGGCGAACGGGUGAGUAACACGUGAGCAACCUGCCCCUGACUCUGGAAUAAGCGCUGGAAACGGCGUCUAAUACUGGAUACGAGAAGGGUCCGCAUGGGCACUUUCUGGAAAGUUUUUCGGUUGGGGAUGGGCUCGCGGCCUAUCAGCUUGUUGGUGAGGUAAUGGCUCACCAAGGCGACGACGGGUAGCCGGCCUGAGAGGGCGACCGGCCACACUGGGACUGAGACACGGCCCAGACUCCUACGGGAGGCAGCAGUGGGGAAUAUUGCACAAUGGGCGAAGGCCUGAUGCAGCGACGCCGCGUGAGGGAUGACGGCCUUCGGGUUGUAAACCUCUUUCAGCAGGGAAGAAGCGAAAGUGACGGUACCUGCAGAAGAAGCACCGGCUAACUACGUG
rnacentral:rRNA from 1 species